AGUGGCUCACUCUGGUUGAAAGACUCAAACCUUUAACAACCCUGUAUAUCUAAAUAAAUUUUAAUUUAUAUCGCUUUCUUAUAUUUUCAGAAAAAUUUAGAGGAGAACUUCUCUAGAAGCGGGUUCAAAGGAUUUUCUGAUGCUCUUUAAUCUGAAUAGAAUAAAAACCAUUUGUUUUUUCGGACAAGAAAUUUUAAUACUGCAAGAAUUACUUUCACUUAAACCAGUUACAAUCUUUCAUUAGGACGUGGUGAGAUGUUGAAUGGCCUUGCUGUUUCUACAAAAUGCCACAAGAGUCCUACGACGGUAACACAACGUGGCGAAGUCAUGCCGCCACUAAAAUAAGCAUGCGAGUUUCUAUCUCUCUGGCCGGAUGCCUGCGAGUUCGAGGCGUGUACGGGUUUGCGGAAAGUGGAACGACCUGAAAUGAGUAAUAACAGUAAUAUUUGACUACCGAAGUUGCAAGAAUGAAUGCUAUUUUUAUUGAUGUAUCCGGACUUCAGACCGAAAGCUAAGAGCUACACACAUAAACUGCUAAGUUUUGAAGAGAACGAGAAAGAAACGAAGAAUAA